rnacentral:rRNA from 1 species
GGAAGGAUCAUUAUCGAAUUGUCAAACAUGGGUUGUUGCUGGCCCUCAAACGGGGCACGUGCACGCUCUGUUUACACAUCCACUCACACCUGUGCACCCUCUGCGGUUCUGUGGUUUGGAAGACCCUGUCUUCCUUCCGUGGCUCUGCGUCUUUACACACACACCAUAGUGAUGUCUCAUGGAAUGUUUUCCGCGUUUAACGCAAUACAAUACAACUUUCAACAACGGAUCUCUUGGCUCUCGCAUCGAUGAACAACGCAACGAAAUGCGAUAAGUAAUGUGAAUUGCAGAAUUCAGUGAAUCAUCGAAUCUUUGAACGCACCUUGCGCCCCUUGGUUAUUCCUCGGGGCAUGCCUGUUUGAGUAUCAUGAGCACCUCAACUCUCAUGGUCUUCCAUGAUGAGCUUGGACUUUGGGGGUUUGCUGGCCCUGUGGCCGGCUCCUCUCAAAUGAAUCAGCUUGCCAGUGUUUGGUGGCAUCACGAGUGUGAUAACUAUCUGCGCUUGUGGUCGUCUGCCAGGUAACCCUCAGCGAUGAAGGUUCAUUGGGGCUCAUAAACGUCUCUCCUCAGUGAGGACAGCUUUUGAACGUUCGAUCUCAGAUCAGGUAGGACUACCCGCUGAACUUAAGCAUAUCAAUAAGCGGAGGAAAAGAAACUAACAAGGAUUCCCCUAGUAACUGCGAGUGAAGCGAGAAGAGCUCA